GCUUUGUUUUUUUGUCUCAAAAGUUGGCAGCGGGGCAGCAAGCAAGAAAUCACCAGCAAAAUGUUUCCCUCUCAGACUUUUGUUUUCAAUGAUUGAAGCCCAAGCCAGGGUAGGAUUUGCAGGAGGAGGCAGAGGGAGCAGGAGGGCGUGAAGCCUUCCCAAUCUAGUAAGGAAGUUCUCUUCAGGGCAGAGGGAGAGCAAAACCCCAGAGGGGUGCAAUCUUGCAAAAGGUCAAUGAGCCACAAACACAGAUGGGCUCAGAAGCUAUAGCCUCCAUAGCUUAGCACAGAGACCCGUGGAAUCUGAAGGUGCUGCUGGGAUGGGCAAGAGGGACAACUCAGCAGCUUCUCAUCUGUUCCUGUGACUAAUGACCGGGGGAAGCCCCCGGCCUCCGUACUGGUCUUGGGGCAGUGUCCCCAGCCAUGACAGAAGCUAAGGCUGGGGUUGAUGAUAUUUAACCAGGCCCUGCUCCUUCCUUACAUUUGGAACUGAUUGGGAAGUAGACACAAGAGGCAAGUGGAUGGGAAUACAAAUAACUUUAUUCCCAAUAAACUUGGGCUUCAGGCUGUGCCUGGCCAGGCGGGCUUGUCUCUCCUUCUCUUGCCAGUUCUAGAUAUAGGUGGGAGCAACAGAAAAGCCUGCAUAUCCCGCAGGCUUUGAGCCUGGAAGUGGGAUUACUUUGUAGUAUUAGUUUGGGGUAUUUAUGUUUGUCCGAAGUACAGUCACAUAUUGAUUACCAACGGGGAUACAUUCUGAGAAGUGCAUUGCUAGGCGAUUUCGUGGUAGUGGGAACAUCAUAGAGAGUAAUUACGCACACCUAGAUGCUGUGGCCUACUGCACACUCGGGCUACGUGGUACAGCCCGUCACUCCUAGGCUACAAUCCUGCACAGUCCCUACAAUCCUAGGGACUGUCCUGAGGACUGCAGGCAGCUGUAACACAAGGAUGGGGGUCUCACUGUGUUGUGCAGGCUGGCCUCAAAAACUUCUGGGCUCAAGCAAUCCUCACACUUCAGCCUCCCAAGUAGCUGGGACUACAGGUGUGUGCUGCCAUGCCCAGCUGAUUCACAUAAUUCCAAGUUACGCUUUUUGCCUUAACAUCCAUCUUUAUUUGAUAUCAUUAUGGCUAUACUAGCUUUCUUUUGAUUGGUGUUUGCAUAGUAUAUCUUUUUCCAUUUGUAAAGUUUUAUUCUUUAUAUAGCUUUGUGUUCAAGAUGUUAUGCUCAUAAGCAGCAUAUGACUGUUAUUUAUGUUGUUAUCCAGUUCAAAAACCUGUAUAUUUCAUUUAGGGAUCUUGAUCCAUUUAUAUUUAACAUAAUU
rnacentral:lncRNA from 1 species